AGCAGCCGCGGUAAUUCCAGCUCCAAUAGCGUAUAUUAAAGUUGUUGCAGUUAAAAGGCUCGUAGUUGAAUUUCGGGGUCAGUGGGUCGGUCGUGCCAAUGGUAUGUACUGGCCCUACUGAUUCCUCCUUCUUGAAGAACUGUAAUGCCAUUAAUUUGGUGUUGCAGGGAAACAGGACUGUUACUUUGAAAAAAUUAGAGUGUUUAAAGCAGGCAAUCGCUUGAAUACAUUAGCAUGGAAUAAUGAAAUAGGACGUUCGAUCCUAUUUUGUUGGUUUCUAGGAUUGACGUAAUGAUUAAUAGGGAUAGUUGGGGGCAUUAGUAUUCAAUUGUCAGAGGUGAAAUUCUUGGAUUUAUUGAAGACUAACUACUGCGAAAGCAUUUGCCAAGGAUGUUUUCAUUAAUCAAGAACGAAAGUUAGGGGAUCGAAGACGAUCAGAUACCGUCGUAGUCUUAACCAUAAACUAUGCCGACUAGGGAUCGGAUGAUGUUAAUUUUUUAAUGACUCA
rnacentral:rRNA from 1 species